ACUAUCUUGGCAGAUUAGUGCAAUAAAUUUAGAAUUUAUGAAUGUAAUUUUUUUUACAGGUAGUA
rnacentral:tRNA from 1 species